UACGCCAGUAUGUGUGGAGCCGUCCUUGAAAUACCACCCUUGUAGUGUUGAUGUUCUAACGUCGACCCCUUAUCGGGGUUGCGGACAGUGCCUGGUGGGUAGUUUGACUGGGGCGGUCUCCUCCCAAAGAGUAACGGAGGAGCACGAAGGUGGGCUAAUCACGGUUGGACAUCGUGAGGUUAGUGCAAUGGCAUAAGCCCGCUUGACUGCGAGAAUGACAAUUCGAGCAGGUGCGAAAGCAGGUCAUAGUGAUCCGGUGGUUCUGAAUGGAAGGGCCAUCGCUCAACGGAUAAAAGGUACUCCGGGGAUAACAGGCUGAUACCGCCCAAGAGUUCAUAUCGACGGCGGUGUUUGGCACCUCGAUGUCGGCUCAUCACAUCCUGGGGCUGAAGUCGGUCCCAAGGGUAUGGCUGUUCGCCAUUUAAAGUGGUACGCGAGCUGGGUUUAGAACGUCGUGAGACAGUUCGGUCCCUAUCUGCCGUGGGCGUUGGAAGAUUGAAGGGGGCUGCUCCUAGUACGAGAGGACCGGAGUGGACGAACCUCUGGUGUUCGGGUUGUGUCGCCAGACGCAUUGCCCGGUAGCUAAGUUCGGAAUCGAUAACCGCUGAAAGCAUCUAAGCGGGAAGCGAGCCCUGAGAUGAGUCUUCCCUGAUACUUUAAGUAUCCUAAAGGGUUGUCGGAGACUACGACGUUGAUAGGUCAGGUGUGUAAGUGCUGUGAGGCAUUGAGCUAACUGAUACUAAUUGCCCGUGAGGCUUAACCAUACAACAC
rnacentral:rRNA from 1 species